rnacentral:rRNA from 1 species
UACGUAGGGUCCGAGCGUUGUCCGGAAUUACUGGGCGUAAAGGGCUCGUAGGUGGCCAACUAAGUCGGACGUGAAAUCCCUCGGCUUAACCGGGGAACUGCGUCUGAUACUGGAUGGCUUGAGUUCGGGAGAGGGAUGCGGAAUUCCAGGUGUAGCGGUGAAAUGCGUAGAUAUCUGGAGGAACACCGGUGGCGAAGGCGGCAUCCUGGACCGACACUGACGCUGAGGAGCGAAAGCCAGGGGAGCAAAGCGGG